rnacentral:tRNA from 3 species
CAUUAAGAAGCUAUGAACCAGCAUUAGCCUUUUAAGCUAAAGAAAGAGGGCUACACCCCUCCUUAAUGA